rnacentral:rRNA from 1 species
GCUUGGGAACUUGCCUUGAGGUGGGGGAUAACAGUUGGAAACGACUGCUAAUACCGCAUGAUGUCUACGGACCAAAGAGGGCUUCGGCUCUCGCCUUUAGAGAGGCCCAAGUGAGAUUAGCUAGUUGGUGGGGUAAAGGCUCACCAAGGCAACGAUCUCUAGCUGUUCUGAGAGGAAGAUCAGCCACACUGGGACUGAGACACGGCCCAGACUCCUACGGGAGGCAGCAGUGGGGAAUAUUGCACAAUGGGGGAAACCCUGAUGCAGCCAUGCCGCGUGUGUGAAGAAGGCCUUAGGGUUGUAAAGCACUUUCAGUUGUGAGGAAAGUUUGGUGGUUAAUACCCAUCAGAUGUGACGUUAGCAACAGAAGAAGCACCGGCUAACUCCGUGCCAGCAGCCGCGGUAAUACGGAGGGUGCGAGCGUUAAUCGGAAUUACUGGGCGUAAAGCGCACGCAGGCGGUUUGAUAAGCGAGAUGUGAAAGCCCUGGGCUCAACCUGGGAACUGCAUUUCGAACUGUCAGACUAGAGUC